GAAUCUGCAGCUGGACAACUGUGCCCGAGAGAAGAGGGGAGGCCCGAGGAACAGAAAGCAAGUCCUUCCCCACAGGUUAGACUCCACGAGCAGGCCCGUCGCAACUACACCCUGCAAGCCGCAGCCAGGAAGUCCUCCUGCAGAAAUGCUCACAGGCGUGCUGAUGAUGGACUGCAAGGUUGGUCGUUGCGAGCGUUGCUGGAAACGGCCGAAGUCUGGAAACAAUCUAAACGCUAUCAAUAAAGGCCUGAUUAAAUAAUGUAUGGUCUGUGCAUCCGAUGGCACACUCUGAAGAAAGCUUCUCGUACACUGGUCGCAUUCCUGUGGUUUGACUGGUAGUGGCUGGGGAGGCUUCACAUGGCAAUGCCCGAACCCCCAGAAGAAAGAGGGCAACCCAUUGCAAACACUUUCCAGCCUUUACUUGCAUGAUGUUUGCUGAAGUCCCUUUGGUCAAAGCACCUCACACAACCAAGCCCAAAUUCAAGGGGGAGAAACAAACUCCAUGUCUUCGAGUACAGUGGACAUCAGUUUUAAUCUACCACAUGGUGGAGCAGAGCCACCCUGGAGGUGGGCACGGUUGGGCCCUGGAAGUAGCCUUCUUGAGGUUGCUGAUACCAGAGGGUCAGCUGCAGAGUGGGGCCGCAGGCAGCUCCGAGCAGGGAUGCUGGACCUGGAGGAAUUGCCGG